CUAUCGCUGUGAUGCGGUUUGCCGAUUCGAGCCCGGGGUAGGUGCAGAAAUAAAAUGACUGGGAAAAGAGACAGAGCAAACCAUCUCUGAUUACAGAGGAUGUUUUCUUCUUAAAGAACUUCGUAUUUCUUGUGGAAUUGGGCUUUUUAGUGACAUUACACCAUGUAAUCAUCCAAAGAUCCAUCACAGCGGGGGAGCAGAGCACCUCAAGGUGGCAGGGUGGCCUCUCAGCCCGGACAGUGACGAAGACCAUCAGAAAAUCUGGGUCCGUCCUCUGACCUGCUAUCUGGGACGGAUGGUGAUCAGAGUCCAGCAACGAGCGGAAGCGCUUGGCCACCUCUAUCUGGCCUGGGUGGG